UAAGGGGAAAAAACAGAGGUGGCCAGGCUUUAAAUCAGGCCAAUAUGGGGAUAAGUGGGAGGAUAAUGCAAUGGAAACCUCUCAAAGGUGUACUGUCUUCCAAGGAAAAGACAUAUAUUUAGGUGCAGUGCCAGUGUCGCCUCAGCUAUACUGGUGAUGUGCAUGCACUUGCAUUGGUUGGACCUGAAACACCAUGCAAUGGGCACAGGGGGGUUGAACUUGAAAUAGAUCUAAGCUGAGCCAUCAAAGUUCUGGCCUCCAUUGUGAAUUUGUGAUUUCCUUGCACACCUACUCAAUGCUACAUUUGUUUUUGUGUGUUCUGACUGCAUUAAUUUAGUUCCGGCUUUCUAGAAUUCUAGUGAUCUACACAACUUGACCAAUUUGAGAUUUUGCUUGUGUGUUUUUAAUAUCAUGGUAUCCUAGAAAUAAAAUAAUAAAAUAAAAAUAAAUACUAUGAACAUUAUUAUGAAGCUUCUAGCUAGUGUUGUUCCUGAUGUCAUUUCUGCUUAGGAGAGGAUAAAAAGAAGGUUAGAUCAUAUCC
rnacentral:lncRNA from 1 species